AAGUCGUAACAAGGUUUCCGUAGGUGAACCUGCGGAAGGAUCAUUAUCGAGUUUGAAGUGGGUCUUUGAGCUGGCUUUUCACGAAGCACCGUGCUCGGGCCCCGCUCCAUCCACUCAACCCCUGUGCACUUUCGAUGGCGUGGUCUCGUUUAGUGGUGUCCAUUCAUUUGGACAUCGGAGGUCGCGACGUCGUCUUAUCACAAACUUAUUAUAAUAGUCAUGUCGAACGUGGAUGCUCGUAAGGGCGGAAACACAAUACAACUUUCAACAACGGAUCUCUUGGCUCUC
rnacentral:misc_RNA from 1 species